GAAAAGAAACCAACAGGGAUUGCCCUAGUAACGGCGAGUGAAGCGNCAAGAGCUCAAAUUUGAAAUCUGGCCCCCUCGGGGUCCGAGUUGUAAUUUGUAGAGGGUGCUUNGGCGUUGGCUGUGGUCUAAGUUCCUUGGAACAGGACGUCGCAGAGGGUGAGAAUCCCGUAUGUGGCCGCCAGUCUUCGCCGUGUAAAGCCCCUUCGACGAGUCGAGUUGUUUGGGAAUGCAGCUCUAAAUGGGAGGUAAAUUUCUUCUAAAGCUAAAUAUUGGCCAGAGACCGAUAGCGCACAAGUAGAGUGAUCGAAAGAUGAAAAGCACUUUGGAAAGAGAGUCAAAAAGCACGUGAAAUUGUUGAAAGGGAAGCGCUUGCAGCCAGACUUGCCCGCAGUUGCUCAUCCAGGCUCGCGCCUGGUGCACUCUUCUGCGGGCAGGCCAGCAUCAGUCUGGGCGGUUGGAUAAAGGCCUGCUAAAUGUACCUCUCCUCGGGGAGGACUUAUAGGGNAGGCAACAUACAACCAGCCCGGAUUGAGGUCCGCGCAUCU
rnacentral:rRNA from 1 species